GAAUGUGCGUUGAAGAGGAAAAGUAACAUUAACUCUUAUACUAGUGAGUCAGGUAUAGUGGAAACUGAUUAUAAGGUUUUUGUGAAAGAACACCUUUGAGCAAACUACCGAAAGGCUUGUGCUUAGUAGACUAGUUCGGGAAGCAAUCCGUUAUCUUAUUGCUAGGUUUGUUGGAACUGAAAAAAGAGAUUACUAAUAAUAUAAAAGAAUAUAUAAGUAAUAAAUUAAGGUGGCACCGCGGAUACCCGUAUUCGUCCUUAUU
rnacentral:ncRNA from 1 species